rnacentral:tRNA from 3 species
GCCGGUGUAGCUCAGUUGGUAGAGCGCCUCACUUGUAAUGAGGAUGUCGCGGGUUCGACUCCUGUCUCCGGCUCCA